rnacentral:lncRNA from 1 species
UAGUAAAAGUAAAGCACAGUAGGAAGGCGCAACCAAGAGCAGAGGGGGGUGGCCAGAACACAUCUCAAGUGUGCAGUUUGCAUAAUGGAAAGAAAAAGUGGAAAGUUGGGUAGGAGCCUGGAGUAAAUGCUGAAUUCAUAAGGACUGCCUUUAUUCCAUAAGCAAAGGAGCAGGAGCACAUUAAAGACUUGCCAAAGAAGCUGCUUAUUUCACAGAAGGAUGGUGCUGGCUAAAAGAUGCUUCCUUGAAACUGAGAGACUGCUGCCUUAGACAGGUCUCCUUGAAGAGAUUUCAAACCUCACUGUGUCACUAUCUACUACCUUGGAGUCUGGAGAACACUGAAUGGAUGAAUGGAUGGAUGGACAGAAGGAUGAAAUAGAUGGAUUAAUGAACAUUAUCUGCUGACUGACAUUCAAAGUCCUUAGCAUAUAGUCUUAGGUUUUCAAAGAGAGUCUGAGCCUGCAGAGCAAAGAAAUGGAAAAUUUGAGAGCUUUUUAUAAUAAGAA